rnacentral:rRNA from 1 species
UGGGGAAUAUUGGACAAUGGGCGAAAGCCUGAUCCAGCCAUGCCGCGUGUGUGAAGAAGGUCUUCGGAUUGUAAAGCACUUUAAGUUGGGAGGAAGGGUUGUAGAUUAAUACUCUGCAAUUUUGACGUUACCGACAGAAUAAGCACCGGCUAACUCUGUGCCAG